rnacentral:rRNA from 1 species
GACAGCCAGGAUGUUGGCUUAGAAGCAGCCAUCAUUUAAAGAAAGCGUAAUAGCUCACUGGUCGAGUCGGCCUGCGCGGAAGAUGUAACGGGGCUAAACCAUGCACCGAAGCUGCGGCAGCGACACUAUGUGUUGUUGGGUAGGGGAGCGUUCUGUAAGCCUGUGAAGGUGUACUGUGAGGUAUGCUGGAGGUAUCAGAAGUGCGAAUGCUGACAUAAGUAACGAUAAAGCGGGUGAAAAGCCCGCUCGCCGGAAGACCAAGGGUUCCUGUCCAACGUUAAUCGGGGCAGGGUGAGUCGACCCCUAAGG